GAGGAUGAGGAGGAGGAUGCGCGGCGCGGCCGCGGCGGAGCCGAGCGAGCUGCCGCCGCCGCUGGCAGGCAUAGUGCUAUUAUAGCGAGCAGCCUUGCCGGUCGGCUGCACUGAGCCAAUGGCAGGGAGCCACUGGGCUGGUACCGAGCGCUGUCAGAGGAGGACAUCUGUCACACGCCGCCUCCACCGCCACCCACCGCCCCGCUGCCCCCGCCGCGGACGGGCAGCACACGCAAAUCGGGGCUGGCUGCCAGGACCAGAAUUUGUCACAGUCCGAGAUGUGCACAAGAAAGAUGCUUAAGUGUG